AGAGAAAAAGAAACAGCCAUCGGAAGUGAUCUGAAAACAUACCAGUAAGACAUAAAUUAAAAGCUAUCUGAUUUCAUAAAAACAAACGUACUAAAGAUGGCAAGGGAGCCCUCAAAAAAGGUGAAUAUUAAGUUUGAAUUAAUGUAUGUACCACAGAUAGCUCCUGUGAAAAAGAAAAUUGGGGGCAGGGGGAAAUGAAACCUAAACACUGCCUUUGUGAAGUAUUGCUGAUAUACCUGAGAUUAUAAAGAGUUGUAAAAGUAGAAAAGAAAGCAGUUGUUCAGCCCACAGUUAAACUAAACUAAUGAAGCUGAUGGAUUUUUGUGUUGUGGCCAACUGCUCUUUUGACAGAGUUAAUGUUAACAUACAGCAUGAGCUUACUUGACGUUAGAGAAGGCACAUACACAAGCCCUUACUGGCAGCCCAGCCACGGGAAAAGCUUCAAACAGAAGUUUCCCUUGAUUAGAUACCAGACAACCCAUACGGGAGGUAGAACUUCACCAAGCAGUGGAUUCCCUCAUGCCUAAUGAAGCACUGGCUGCAGCACUUCCCUCAGAGAUGGCAUUCACAGGAUUUCUUGUCCUGGCCUGAUCACCUGUGUCCCUAACACCUUUGGAUUCUCGAUUCCUGUGUGAAUGGAUUUGCAAGAAAGGCUGGCAAACUACAGAGGAGAGGGAAGGAGAGAAAGGGAGAACAGGAAUAUCUAAAAGACUGAGAGUAGCUCCAGGAAGGAAUGCAGAUUGGCAAAGUGAAUUCUGCAACAGUGCCAGCGUUCACCUUUUACGAUAUUCAGCCAGAAAAAAAGGCUGUGACCUUACGUGGAAAUGAUGACUGCUUCAUCACUCAAAUAGGAGACUCAUUGCAUUUUUUAAGGGUAUUAUCUGGUAAUUAUCUUGGUGAGAAUAUUGCCUGCAUUGUAGAUCUCCUGAAGUGGGCUGCUGCUUAGUUCUCACGCACGGUCUCCAGAAAAAGUUGAGUAAAGUCAGCACAGAACCAAGUCAAAUCUGAGAAUAACUUGGGAAAGCACAACUUACCCAUUUGGAAAGAUUCUGCAGUUACUCCAUCUACAAUCUUUGUAAACCACAUAUUUAGUAGGGGCAGCCCUUGAAAUGAAUGGAAGUCUCGGCAUUCAUACUGCAAUAAAGGAUGAUGAACACCUGGACUACUGUUCUACUGAUAUUCUGGAAUGCUUUGGGUAAAGAACUGUCCUCCUGACACAGAAGAAAACAAUCCCACCACAUUUACCUUUGCAAUAUGCAUCUGUACAUAUUUGCCACAUUGCAUGUUAUACCUCAUCUUUCCACCUAGCCUGAACAUCAAAUGUGGUCUAUUUGCAAAUUUGAGUUGCAGUAUUUUUGGCUACUCUGCUACUUACAACAGCAUGUUCUCUGUGCAGGCAGUCUUCAAGUAGAGCCACGUGCCAUGACAAAGAAACAGUGACCAUCCUCUGUUCAGAUGCAGUCUGGCACCAUAAAGGAAAAAAAAAAAAAAGCACAUCAUGCUUCCUACAGAGACUUUAAUUCUAGAUUUAUUUUGUGUUUCAUGUUUAAAAUGAAAAUUAUUAGGCCUUGAAAGCAGAAGCUACCCAUGGAAUAUGGCAACACAAUUUCCGAGACACUAAUAAAACUUUUAUG